GUACACACCGCCCGUCACACCAUGGGAGUUGGUUUUACCCGAAGGCGUCUCGCCAACCGCAAGGAGGCAGGCGACCACGGUAGGGUCAGCGACUGGGGUGAAGUCGUAACAAGGUUUCCGUAGGUGAACCUGCAGAAGGAUCA
rnacentral:rRNA from 1 species